AAACUCAAAGGAAUUGACGGGGACCCGCACAAGCAGAGGAGCGCGUGGUUUAAUUCGACGGCAAUCGAAGAACCUUACCAGGGUUUGAAAUGUAUCUGCAUGCCCUAUGAAAAUAGGGAGGCCUUCGAGGGUGAUACACAGGUGCUGCAUGGCCGCCGUCAGCUCGUGUCGUGAGAUGUAGGGUUAAGUCCCGAAACGAGCGCAACCCCUAUUCUAUGUUACAAGUGUCUUAGAAAACCGCCUCGGUAAAACGAGGAGGAAGGUGGGGAUGACGUCUGGUCCGCAUAGCCCUUAUGUCCUGGGCUACACACGCGCUACAAUGGCCGAUACAGUAGGAAGCCAAAUCGUAAGAUGGAGCUAAUCCUUAAAGUCGGUCUCAGUUCGGAUUGAGGUCUGAAAUUCGACCUCAUGAAGUUGGAUUUGCUAGUAAUCGUAGAUCAGCAAUGCUACGGUGAAUACGUUCUCGGGUCUU
rnacentral:rRNA from 1 species